GUGCGCUAACCGCAAGGAGGCAGCUAACCACGGUAGGGUCAGCGACUGGGGUGAAGUCGUAACAAGGUAGCCGUAGGGGAACCUGCGGCUGGAUCACCUCCUUUCUAAGG
rnacentral:rRNA from 1 species